rnacentral:rRNA from 1 species
AAACCAACAGGGAUUGCCUUAGUAGCGGCGAGUGAAGCGGCAAAAGCUCAAAUUUGAAAUCUGGCGCCUUCGGUGUCCGAGUUGUAAUUUGAAGAUUGUAACCUUGGGGUUGGCUCUUGUCUAUGUUUCUUGGAACAGGACGUCACAGAGGGUGAGAAUCCCGUGCGAUGAGAUGCCCAAUUCUAUGUAAGGUGCUUUCGAAGAGUCGAGUUGUUUGGGAAUGCAGCUCUAAGUGGGUGGUAAAUUCCAUCUAAAGCUAAAUAUUGGCGAGAGACCGAUAGCGAACAAGUACAGUGAUGGAAAGAUGAAAAGAACUUUGAAAAGAGAGUGAAAAAGUACGUGAAAUUGUUGAAAGGGAAGGGUUUGAGAUCAGACUCGAUAUUUUGUGAGCCUUGCCUUCGUGGCGGGGUGACCCGCAGCUUAUCGGGCCAGCAUCGGUUUGGGCGGUAGGAUAAUGGCGUAGGAAUGUGACUUUACUUCGGUGAAGUGUUAUAGCCUGCGUUGAUGCUGCCUGCCUAAGCCGAGGACUGCGAUUUUAUCAAGGAUGCUGGCAUAAUGAUCCCAAACCGC